GAUGAACGCUGACAGAAUGCUUAACACAUGCAAGUCUUUGGCGAAGCUGUGCUUGCACAGCCUAGCCAAGGCGGACGGGUGAGUAACGCGUAAGGGACUUGCCCUGCAGUCAGGGAUAACAGACGGAAACGACUGAUAAAACCUGGUAAAGUCAGGCGGACUCAUGUCCAGCCUGAUGAAAAGGAAUGCUGCAGGAGAGCCUUGCGUCCUAUUAGCUUGUUGGUGGGGUAACGGCCCACCAAGGCGAUGAUAGGUAGCCGGCCUGGGAGGGUGGACGGCCACAAGGGGACUGAGAUACGGCCCUUACUCCUACGGGAGGCAGCAGUGGGGAAUAUUGGACAAUGGGGGCAACCCUGAUCCAGCAAUUCUGUGUGCACGAUGAAGGUCUUCGGAUUGUAAAGUGCUUUCAGCAGGGAAGAAAAAAAUGACGGUACCUGCAGAAGAAGCGACGGCUAAAUACGUGCCAGCAGCCGCGGUAAUACGUAUGUCGCGAGCGUUAUCCGGAAUUAUUGGGCAUAAAGGGCAUCUAGGCGGCCGGAUAAGUCUGGGGUGAAAACUUGCGGCUCAACUGCAAGCCUGCCCUGGAAACUAUGCGGCUAGAGUACUGGAGAGGUGGACGGAACUGCACGAGUAGAGGUGAAAUUCGUAGAUAUGUGCAGGAAUGCCGAUGAUGAAGAUAGUUCACUGGACGGUAACUGACGCUGAAGUGCGAAAGCUAGGGGAGCAAACAGGAUUAGAUACCCUGGUAGUCCUAGCUGUAAACGAUGAUUACUGGGUGUGGGCAUGAAGAGUGUCCGUGCCGAAGCUAAUGCGAUAAGUAAUCCGCCUGGGGAGUACGGCCGCAAGGCUGAAACUCAAAGGAAUUGACGGGGACCCGCACAAGCGGUGGAGCAUGUGGUUUAAUUCGACGCAACGCGAGGAACCUACCAGAUCUUGACAUCCUGCGAAGGCCUGCGAGAGCAGGCUGUGCCUCCGGGAACGCAGAGACAGGUGGUGCAUGGCUGUCGACAGCUCGUGUCGUGAGAUGUUGGGGUUAAGUCCGCAACGAGCGCCACCCCUAUUGCCAGUUGCCAUCAUUAGGGUGGGGACUCUGGCGAGACUGCCUGCGAAUAGCAGGAGGAAGGCGGGGAUUCGUCAGUCAUCAUGCCCGUAUAUCUUG
rnacentral:rRNA from 1 species